CAGCGUCCCCCUCAUCACCAACAUGGACCUCAACAUCCGUCAACACUUGCCACACAUCAGGCCUGGUCCUCAGCCCUCUGCAUGCCUCGCAGCUCACAAUGGCACUAUGAAGCCAGAACUACUAUUACCUCCACUUCACAGGUUAGGAACUGAGGAGCUUGUUCAAGGACACACAGCCAGUAAGCAGACUCCCAAGCCCAGUCUCUUAACCACUAUGCCAGCCAUGCUAGCAACAUCCCUCUCUCUUAGGAGACUUCCUCCCAACUCCGGUCCUUCACUAAUGAACUACUUCCUAUUUUCACACUUGACCACCUCUGGUAUAAAGACAAGCAAAUGAGAAAAGUAAGGGUGAGUUGGCCAAGAUCGCCCAGCCAGCAAGCGGCAGAGGAAUAAACUGACCCCAGGACUUCCAAAUGCUACGGCCUGUGCUCUGGGGUGUCUGCAGCAGGAGUGGCAGCUGAGCAUCGGGACUGACAGUGGGGACCUGGGAGUCACCAACACUCACCUUUACUGGCUGUGUGACCCAGGGUGAGUUAAUUAUCCUCAUCUCGUCUCAGUUUCUUCAUCCAUAAAACAGUGCUAAUAACAACUGUGACACACGGUUACCGUGAGGAUUAAAGGAGAGAAGGUAUAUGCAAAGCACUCAGCUCACUGGCCAACACACAGUCAACACUCACGAAAUGGCAGUUGUUUUUAUUACACUCCACUGCCCAGGCAGGGACAUCUGUGUCUUCUGAACUCUCUACUUGCCUGUAUAGUGGCCACGAGAUACAAAACUCUGUAUGCAGCAGGUGCUUAACACAGGUUGGGGAAGAACAACUUCCUUCUAUCCAGCUACCCCACCUCCCAAACAGCCGUGGCCGAGAUUCACAGCCACAGGCGACGAGAAUAAGCCCAGUGCCAGAGGCAGGGUGGGACUGCUACACCGGGUCACAAUGGCCAGGGGGGCUGGGACCAGGUGGCAUCUGUGAAUCUGCCCUUGAUGAACACGUUCCGGGCCCAAGGAGGCCACGGCCACAGGCCACCCACAAGAUGGCCGCCAGCGGGGCGUGGGCAGCCCGGCACACUCGGGCCUCCCCGGUGGCGGCCGCGUUUCCUCCACUUUCUGCCUCACACCUCCCUCCCCUGGGGCUCCAGAUCUCUGCUCCCAGGGCUGGGGAACAUGUCUGUCCUUGGUGAGAAGAGCAAAUAAAAGCGCAUGGCCUACUUCCAGCAACCUCGCUGUUUCUCACUUGAAGAUUAAAAUAAUAAACACACAGACAUAGAGGCUGGAGAGUGAGGGGGAAACGAAGCAGCAUCGGAGCCGCGGCACGAGGCCUCACGCAGCCCAGGGCUGCGGUAACCUGGCAACCUGCGAAAGGAAGAAGGCAGGAAGGGGACCUGUGUACAAGCAACAGCCAACUGUCACAGCCUGAGACGAUGGGAAAUGCAAGUCCACAGCAAAUCCACUCAGCACCUACAUUUACUCGAGGCCACCUGGUGGGGGAACUUAACCCCAGAUCUCUUGGGAGCUCAGUGACUCCAGCAUCCUGCCUCUGCCACGAGCUGGGAGGAAGAUCUCUGCGGUGUGUUGAAUGCUCUUUUCUUUCUGUUCCUGUGUGGCUGUGAGCCUCUGCAUGGCCAGGAGACGCCACCUGCCCCUGCCAGCCAGGCUGCCUCUGCACCUGUGCCAGGUGCUGGGCCAGACCAGGCUGGAUGCUAAGGAAACCUGCUGUGGAGCUGGAGUAAACAGCGGUGCCAGAGACAAUACAGGCAGAGCCCACAGAGAUGCAAAGCCUCCUUUAGGGUCCUGGCUUCCCUUUCAGCAUUUCACAGCUGGAGGCAGGCCUGUGAUGCUUCAUGCUCCCCAGCUCUGCCAGGAAAAUCUUGGUACUCAGAAGCAGGUUCACCCGGGGACAGGCAGAGCGGAGCGGGACUUGUCGAGAAGAGAUCUGCCCUCGUGUGACCCUCUACUUUCCCCGCUGAAGUCAGGGGCCCAGGGGAGCAGAAGACGUGAGAAACCAGUCAGAGGUCUCCGGGGCUCUGAAAGCAGUCUCUGCCCCAAGGUGGCACACGGCAGAAAAAGGGGGCAUGAUUCCAGAACACCCCUCUCUCUGCCAACUUCAGCCCAUCCACGUUUCACUCUUGGGGUCCUGCUCCCAGACAAGAGGCUGGAGUUCCACCCUGUGGAAUGGUGGGUAAUACGAAGACAAACCCUCAGGACAGGCCCAGGGGAAGGCC
rnacentral:lncRNA from 1 species